ACUCCUACGGGAGGCAGCAGUGGGGAAUAUUGCACAAUGGGGGAAACCCGUAGCAUGCAGCCAUGCCGCGUGUGUGAAGAAGGCCUCGGGUUGUAAAAGCACUUUCAGUAGGGAGGAAGGUAGUGUAGUUAACACCUGCACUAUUUGACGUUACCUACAGAAGAAGCACCGGCUAACUCCGUGCCAGCAGCCGCGGUAAUACGGAGGGUGCGAGCGUUAAUCGGAAUUACUGGGCGUAAAAGCGCAUGCAGGCGGCCUGUUAAGUCAGAUGUGAAAG
rnacentral:rRNA from 1 species